UGAGGAAUUUUCCGCAAUGGGCGAAAGCCUGACGGAGCAAUGCCGCGUGGAGGUGGAAGGCCUACGGGUCGUCAACUUCUUUUCUCGGAGAAGAAACAAUGACAGUAUCUGAGGAAUAAGCAUCGGCUAACUCUGUGCCAG
rnacentral:rRNA from 1 species